rnacentral:tRNA from 1 species
GCACCAGUAGAGUAGUAGUUAACUCAUUUCCCUCCCAUUGUUGUAAUCUACAACGUAGCAAGGAAGGAAAGGACCCGGGUGCAAAUCCCGGCUGGUGCA